rnacentral:misc_RNA from 1 species
UGAAGUUAUGAUGUAGUAAAUUUGUUUAAUUAGUCCAUACAUGAUUAACAGAUGUUUUAAGAUACAUAAAUUGAAUACAUAGAACCACUACUGGCUUGCAAAUUAUAAAUUGUAGAGCUUAUGUGGUUAGAGUAAAGUGAGGCAGACCUUCACAACGUCUAACAACUAAAGCCUUCUUAUUACAGUCAGUUGAAUGUUGGCUACAACUGCUAGCUAGAGAAAUUUUAGUCAACAGAAAAAACUGGAAAGAAGAACAUGAGAAUUGGAGACUUUUGGACCCAUCCCACCACAGAGAGU